UCAGCUUUUGCUUUUCUGUCUUUAAAGUUCCAAUUUUCUCUCCACACCCUCACUUUCCCACGAUAACCCUCUCUUACUCAUCUCCUGCUCUCUUCUCUCACCAUAGCAGUGGUCAGCAAACAAGCUGGUUGGGGGAUUUCGGUUGCAGAAGCACGAUCAGUAAAGGAAAUGAGCUGGUCGUCGAGUGAUAACUAUUUUGUGAAUCAAAAUUAGAGGUCUUCUCGGUUGACCUAUUUUCUGAACCAUUAUAAUUCAUACAGAGCAAGUUGUCAUCUACGAUGGGCCGAAGGGUGAUGAUUUCAAGAGGUUCUUGCGUUCUACAAACCUUCGAGUAAACUAUCAGGGAAAGGCUAUAGUACGUGUCCAAAAGCAUGACGAUAAUGAUGAGUUCCUUGAACAAUAUGAUUCCUUCAUUCAAGAAAAGGUGGUACCAUUAGACCCUUUUGGUUUCCCAAACAUACCAUUACUGAAGCCGUAAGCGGUGAACAAAUUGCAAAGUCUCUUGGACAAUACUAAGGCUGAAUUGGCGAAGAAGAAUGAUGAGCUUGAUGAAUUGCAAAGCCUCCUAGAUAGUACCAUAGCCGAUUUAGUAAAGAAGAAUGAUGCACUGAAUGAAUUAAAGAAGCAGAAGAUUGAUUAGGAUUGGAAUCCUGAACAGUUCCGACUUUGUAUUGUUGCAAUCACUAACUCAAUGAAGAGAGUGUUUGUUGACUUUGGUCUUGAACCACCAGCAAGUGGAUAUCCAGAGUCUAUGCUGAAUUUUCUCGAGAUGUUACAUGAUUUGAUCCUUCACAAAGAAUUUAGUGCCACUUUCUUAGCAGUCGCGAACAAGAUACUGGCCUUAAUUGCAAAUAUAUUUAAGAAACGCAAUGGCUUAAGCAUUGGCAUGGAAACAACAAAUAGCAUGGAAACAUUAAAUAGUACUCCAACCUGUCUCAUUAAGAGCCUAUUUACCUUAAGAGGCUUUAUGAAUACCCACUUCUUUAUUGAUGGUAGUGUUAUUUUCAAGGAUUUUCGUCUGAUGAACGAGGCCGACCUCCCAGUUAUAUUUCAGGAUCCUGCAAUAGAUGUGGUAAAGCUGAAGCAGAAGAAGAUAGGUACGAAAACAAUCGAUAACAUUGAUAAAAAUUCCAUCUUCUAUGGGUAUUUCAAUAUUCCAACAGUGGGGAUGUUCAAGGGUGUUUUGACAAGAGUAUAUGUCACCCUGCCAGAUGAGAUCAUGGUGAAACUUAAGGUGGACAUACAUAUCCUUAAUGACAAAAGGUUUUGGUUUGUCUAUUCCAAUGGGGCUUUUAUAUUUGAGAAGGAGCUUUUGAGUCCUGAAUUAACAGAUACCAAUACCUCUGGCUCGAUAAGCAACAUAAGCAAUUUAAAAGAUGUCAAAUUUGCCCCUUCUUGGAUCUUAGGUGAUCAUAUAGACUUCUUAGGGUUUUCUGUAGGAUGAAUCGAAUCUUCGUUAAUGAGAAUGUGGUAUAUCUCAAGUUUGGUUUUAUUGGUGGGAAGCAUUUAAGACCACGGGGUUUUAGUGAUAGUAUGGUUCGCUAUUAUAAUAAGGAUGGUGGAAUGUUUGCUCCUCUCAAGUUGGUGCAAUGUGAUGCGAAUACACCUACAACUGAUAUUGUACAAAGAGAAGUUUUUUUACCUAUGUCAACCUCACCUUUUGGGGAGAAUUAUGUCACAUGGAUUGCGAAUGAAUCUUUGGGCAAGGAUUGUGCUUUCACGUUCAAUGAAUUUUGUUUUAUGAGGAAAAUAACGAAAGCCUCCAGUACAUUCCGUGAGAAUGAUUUGGUCAGUGUGUUCUUCGAACAAGCCCAAAACAGAGAAAGUAAGAUCAUGGGAUGACACUGAUAAAUCUUUAAAGGCUCCAAAAUUUGUUUAAAAUGACCUAUAGUUUAUUUUAGGGAAGUUAUUAACGUAACAAGGGUUGGUUAUGUUUGAUAAAAUAACAAAAGGGUAAAAAAAUCAAAUAUUUAUGAAAAUAUUUAUUAAAAAACUAAUUAAUGGGGGUAAAAUAGAUAUUUCACUUAUUACAAAUUAAAAUUAAAAAAUAUAGCCAAAAUUGAAAUUGUAAAGGAAUUUUAGUCAUUUCAUCUUAACAAGGGUUCGACUUAAACCUACCUUUCUAUUGUAAUCGAUUUACGGAAAAAAAAAAAAAAGCGCUGGGUUUCUUCCCUGAGUUUGGGAACGUCUCUGCAGCUUUCUACGUCGUUGGCAGGCAAAAACUCAAAGUUUGAAAUUAAACUUGUCUCACCAGCUCCCCGGGUAGAUCGAAGAUGGGGAGUUGCCUUGCCUCCAAUUGAUAUUUUGUGAGGUUCAGUUGCUGAUCGAAGUCCUGGAAUUGAGCAUUUAUUCUAUAGUACGAUUCCUAUUAUCUUAAGGGGCAGAGGAUUCGAGGUACUUUUUUGUGGUUUUAUGGAUACUUCUGUUUAAUGUGAUGUUUUUCAUAGUUACUAAACUGAAUGUCAAUUUUCUAGGGUUUCAGCUUUGUAUGCUAAUGCUUAAUUGAUUGUAUUGGCUUUGAGAUAUCUUCUCAGAAAUCGAGAAAAUGUUGGGAGCACUUGAUUGAUUCGCGAGGCCUUGUAACUUAUUAGUUCUUUCGUUUGGAUCCCUAUGUAUUGGUGAUUCUGACUUUUGGCCUUAUUUUGUGAGAAAAUGGUUUUCUCUUUAAUGUGGAGUGUCGCAUGGAUUUAUAACAUUUACAAGUGAAGAAUGCUCUUCUUCUAGAGAGUACAUGUGUCUUUUGAUUGGAUAAA